rnacentral:rRNA from 1 species
GGGUGCGAUCAUACCAGCACUAAUGCACCGGAUCCCAUCAGAACUCCGAAGUUAAGCGUGCUUGGGCGAGAGUAGUACUAGGAUGGGUGACCUCCUAUGAAGUCCUCGUGUCCCACCCC